rnacentral:lncRNA from 1 species
AGCACCUCCUUCCUCCGCCGCCACCGCCCCGUGGCCACCAGCCUCAAGUCCAACGUGGGCCAGGCCCUCUUCGGCCUCAAGUCCUCCAACAUGCAAGGCGGCAGAAUCACAUGCAUGGCCACCUACAAGGUCACUCUCCGGACCCCUGAUGGUGAGGUCGAGUUCGAGUGUCCUGAUGAUGUCUACGUUCUCGACCAGGCUGAGGAGCAAGGAAUCGAUAUUCCUUACUCGUGCAGGGCGGGCUCGUGCUCGUCCUGCGCGGGGAAAGUGGUGUCUGGCUCGAUUGAUCAGAGUGAUCAGAGCUUUCUUGAUGAUGAGCAGAUGGAUAGUGGGUAUGUGCUCACUUGUCAUGCUUACCCUACUUCUGAUGUCAUCAUUGAGACUCACAAGGAGGAGGAGAUUGUGUAAUUUAGUUUCGUGGUAAUGUCGUGUCGGAUAUUUGGAUACUCUGUCAUGUUUUGUUUGAGUUAUGUAUUUCAUUUCUAAUGGAGGGUGAAAUUGUAAUGUUUAAUUCUCGGACUCAGAUUAUAUAUAUAUGAAAUUAAUAACAUAUUAUCUUGUUGAAUUGGUUAUGUUUUGGUUCAGUUCGGACGGGUAAUGUUCUUGUUGAUGUUUUGGAAUGUAGUUUUUCUUUGAUUCUAUUCAUAAUUAGGCUGUAUUUCACAGUAUAUGUAUGGGUUUUAAAGCAUAUUCUAGAGAAAUAAGUGUUUUAGACAGUUGUUUGCUAAGGAUGAGUGCUUUUGUAUUGCUGCAGAACUCAAACUGUUAUUAUAUGGCUUAUACAUCCUUUUCUCAUAAUAUUCAAAAUAUGCACCUCUCUCUCUCUCUCUCUCUCUCUCUCUCUCUCUCCCUCCCUCUCCCUCUCCCUCUCCCCCUCUCCCUGCCCCCUCCUUCCACUGUGUAUUAUAAUUGGAUGUUUUCUUCAUUGAAUUGGAUUGUUGAGUGUGGGAAAUAGUUGGAAUUGUGUAUAACAUUUGUGGUUAAUUUCUGAGAGUUUAAAGUACCAGUUGUUCAAAGAUCAGUGAAACUUUCUGAUUGAUAUAAAGGGAUAUUUGCAGGUCUAUUUUUUACUCCUAGCCCUAGAUCUUUUGUGUAUGUUUAUGUGUUUAUAUGUUAUGAUAUGGUGUAUGAAUUUUAGAAUGUUUUUAAGUGUAGGAAUUAUGUUUAGAUUGAUAUAAUGUGGUCAAUUUCUGACAGUUUUACUGUCCGUAUUUGAAAAUUGUGGAGACCUUUUUGUGGUCUCGAGUGAAAUGAUGAAGUUGUAUUGGAUGAUGGUGUUGAUAUGGUAAUAAACUGGUCAGGGCAGGGAUAAUUAUAAAUGUGUUUUUAGGCUGUAUGUAGAUGUAUGAGUUAGGGAUGUUUGAGAUAUUGGAGAUGAGAGCAGGUGGAUGGAUGCUAGUUUUUUUUUUUUUUUUUUUUUUUUUUUUGGGACACUUUUCAAUAAUAUUAGUUUGUUGUUGGAAGUUUAUCUGGCUUUUGGUGGUGAUUUAGCAGAGUGCCUUCGUUUGAUUACUUGUCUGAAAGUACUCAGGUGACAACCAAGAUAAAGAUAUACUUUCUUUUCUAGCUUUAACUUGCAUUUAUUAUCAGUCAACCACUCCGUGUUCUGUUGAUAGUCUCCUCAAAAAUCUGGUACAUGGAUUCUAUUCAUUUUCUAAACUCAACUAAAAAACUGCAACAAAGUAAUGAUUUUUAUUACUAUGAGAAACCAAAUCCAAGCAGUGGGUUAUUCACUAGUCUAAUCAGCUACAUUUGUAAAAAUUAAAAUGAAUCAUACCAAAUUCGAUUAAUGGUCUGGUUAGAUUCGUUUUCCUAGGACUCAAUUCUGUAAGUUUAUACGUUGCUAAAAAGCUCUUUACGUUUUUGUUAGUGUAGACUUAUCUUUCGAAUUACUUAAUCUUAUCAAUGCUAAUAAAAAAUACUGCAUUAAUAGGUGUAGUUUAAAUUUACUGAAUCUUAUUGAUUAGUUUAUUCAUUUUUGCAUUUCCCCCCUUUAUGUCUCCUAAUAUGGCUAAUUAUAAACAUGUUCCAGAUGGAUAAUAUGGGUUCCUUUCUCUUGUAUUAAGUGACACUUAUUCAUAGAAUUUUUUUCAUCAAGUACUUUUUCUAAAUUGUACAAUGAAGAGAAUCCUCUAUUCUUCUAAGCAAUUCAUACCUUAAAGUAGAUUAUUAAGAAUGGUGCUAGAUAUACCUUCAAGUUGGAUAAUUAAGAAUGGCUGAUCUUAUUUUAACUAGUGUGUAUGUUUGGGUUUUUAAAAGCAUAUGGUUAAAUACUAAAAUUCAUUGUUUUGUAAAAGGCAGCAAUUCUUAAAAGCGCACAGACAAUCUUGUUGUGUGCUGCAUUGCUGCUUGGACUAAUUUAAUUUAGUAGAUGAGAAUGGUCUCUUUAAAUCAUGAAAUUAUUGUUUCCAUGAUAGUCUCUAGUGAAACUAUUGUUUUAGAUAUUUAUUGCUUCGCCCUCCCUUGUAUCCUUUCCGAGGCUGUUGCCUAGACUUAUAUUUUAUUUCACUGUUCCAUUUAAUGGGCAACUCUUUAAAAUGGUUCCCUGUUUUUUCCCCUUUGCAGUAUCAAGCAGAUGACCCCGUGACAUUAUGGGUAAACAAAGUUGGGCCUUAUAAUAAUCCGCAAGAGACAUACAACUAUUACACUCUUCCAUUUUGUCAUCCACCUGGUGAAGCUGGUCACAAGUGGGGUGGUCUGGGUGAGGUGUUGGGUGGAAAUGAAUUGAUCAAUAGCCAAAUAGACAUAAAGUACCAGAGUAAGUAAUCUCAUGUUUCUUCUAACAAUCUAUCUUGGCGAGGUCAUGUAAAAAUAUGUCUACGUUUUCUUUGCAGAAAAUGUGAACAAGAGAACUAUCUGUGAGCUUGAACUUGAUGAUGAUAAGGUCAAACAGUUCAAGGAAGCUAUAGAAAAUAGCUAUUGGUUUGAAUUUUUCAUGGGUAUGUUAUGUUUUUCUGUAAUGCAAUUGCUAGUGUAGCAAUUACUGUGAACCUGCAUGGAUUGUUUUUAAGUUUUAGGAUAUUUUUAUGAAGCAAAGAGAAGAUUUAGCAUAUUACUAAAUGCGAAGCUACUUGAAAAGUUAUUAUCAUUGUGAAUUGGUCAAAGUUAUGUUCUUAUAUUGGAAACAGUAGUUGCGGGCAUGCAGGUCAUGUUUUUGCUAAACAAAAUGUGAUGCACCAUCAAAUUUCUAUCGAAGAGUAAGAUCAAACUUUUUUCUGAAUAUUUUUGUGUGUGGCUAUGUUAUAGCUCAGUUGUUUUUCUUCUCAAUACUGUUUUAAAUUAAAAAAUAUUAUAUUCAACCUGAAUUCAUGUUAUAAGUUAACCUAUCGUGCUCUCAAUUCUCAGGCUACAUGUGUAUAAGAAAAUAUUGCAUCGAGCAGUGCAUAUAUGAGCAUAUUAAUGACAUUCUUAUUAUUUUGCAUUAUUUUUCCAAGCAUAAAUAGUAAUGCUUAUUAGAGAUAGGCAAGGCAAAUCCUUUUAUCAAUAAUAAAUUGAAACAUGGAAUAUCUUCUUAGAAUACUAACUGGUGCUUGAUUUUUAAUCUGUAAGAUGUAUCUCCUUGUGAAUUAUAGUGAUGUUGGGUCAUUGCUCACAUACUGACCAAAUUAAUAGAUCAUAGGAGUACUAUAAUAGUUUUAACCACCCACAUGAUCUAAUAUCUGUAUAAAAUUAUUUCUCGACAAAGAUACAUUUCUCUGUAUUGGUGUAUCCAGAUAAUUGUUGCGUGUAUAUACAGUUUAAUAAAAUUUGAUUUUUUUUUUCUGUUGAAGUGAAGUUGAAAAUCCUCAGUCACUGCAAUACUGAGUACAUUGAUGUUAGUAGCUCCAUGUUGUAUAAAUUAUUCUCUCAAUUAUAUAAUAUUAUGACGGAGUUGAAAAGAAUAUGAAAGCAUCCUUGCAUGGUUUCUUGACCUUACCUGUUCCUUCUUUCUCAUAGCGACUAGAUUUCCUCUUAGCUUUUCUUUAUGAACAUAUUUACUAUCUCAGCAGUCAGCAAAAUUAAUGAUCAGGAAUCAUCUUUAUAAUCAUCUUUAUACUGUUGUAAUUUAUUUAUAUGCUGAGUUCUGGUUACUUGAUUCUUUACAAUCUACAUUAUAUUCAUUUUCUUAUCAUAUUAAUUUUUUUUGUUGGCGUCUUUGGUUCGUAUGAUGUGAUGAUUACAAGUUCAGAUGAUCUGCCACUAUGGGGUAUGUGUAUUUGAAACGCUUUGUUAAUAACUUUCCUAGGCUUGGCCUGUAUUAUUACCCACUAAUAUUUAGUUUCUCCAAUCAAAUAGGUUUUGUUGGCGAGCUGCAUCCUGAUAGGAACAAUGAAAACAAGCAUGUGGUUUACACACACAAGAAUAUUAUUGUGCAGUACAAUAAAGAUCAGGUUUGUAGCAUUAAAUGUGAAUAGUUUUGCAGCCAGUGGUAUCUGUUCCUAGUUAUGUCAUUGGUUCAUCUGUUGCAGAUUAUUCAUGUUAACCUCACUCAAGAGAACCCAAAACCGUUGGAAGCUGGGAGAAUAUUGGAGUUGACAUAUUCUAUUAAAUGGGAGCCCACUAAUAUCACUUUUGCUCAUCGUUUUGAUGUUUACCUGGACUACCCCUUUUUUGAGCAUCAGGUGAUUCUUGACCUUGUACAUAUAUAGCAUGACUUGCUGAGUACCAAUUUAAUUUUGAUUUGUGUUUUUAAAUAAUUAUCUAUGUUGUAUGGAACUGCAAGUGCUGGUUGAUCUAUAACAUUCUUCGGAUAUGCCAGCUUUUUGACUGUAACUCUAAAAGUUAUUGGGCAUUAUUUUAGUAAGAAAAUAUUUAUGCUGGUGAGGUUUUGUUUUAUGAAGAACUUUGUGUCUUUUUAUUUUUUACUAACUGCAUGCUGGUGAGGUUUUGUUUUAUGAAGAACUUUGUGUCUUUUUAUUUUUUACUAACUGCAUUGGUUGUACAUGCAUUUUGCAUCAUGCAGAUUCAUUGGUUCUCUAUUUUUAAUUCAUUUAUGAUGGUUAUCUUCCUCACUGGUCUGGUUUCAAUGAUAUUAAUGCGCACACUAAGAAAUGAUUAUGCUAAAUACGCUCGGGAAGACGAUGAUUUGGAAUCUUUGGUAAGUACACAUUAGAGAAGUGGCAUGCUCUAUAUCUUCCUUUGCUUCCUGGUACUGAUUUUUGAGAACUACAAAUCCAGGAAAGAGAUGUAAAUGAAGAAUCUGGAUGGAAACUUGUCCAUGGAGAUGUUUUCAGGCCUCCUCAUCAUUUGGUAGUACUUUCAGCUGUUGUUGGUACGGGAGCUCAGUUGGCAUUGUUGAUUCUUCUUGUAAUUGUGGUUGCAAUGGUUGGGACAUUGUAUGUCGGGUACGUUAGACAAGUACUCUUGCAAUAUUACUCCAUUUUUCAUAUCUAAUGGUCAUUUAUUGCGUCAAUUAUGUAUAUCUAAAAGAUUAUUUUGCAAGUUCAUUUAUGAUGAGAAGUAAGGUACAGCCUGCAAGUGUGGAUUUUUGAUAUUAUUUCUUUGUUUUAUGUUACUGUUUCUCUCUUUUUCACACACACACAUUGUAUUUAUGUUAUCUUAUGUCAAGUUUGGGUCAAGUAGCAAUUGUUCAAUUCUGCAUUAUGUCUUCACGUUUAUAUUUCUUUGCUUUAGAUCAUUUAUUUAAUGUUGAAUAAACUGAAAUUUGUUCAACCAACCUGUCAUUUUCUGAACUUGUUGCCAAUUUGCUUUGCGUGGAACAAAAAUUUACCUGUAUGGACUUCACUUGUUCCAGGAGAGGAGCCAUUGUCACAACCUUUAUAGUAUGCUAUGCCUUCACAUCAAUUAUAUCAGGUUAUGUCAGCGGUGGAAUGUAUUCACGCAUGGGUGGUACGCAGAGAUAUAUUAUCUUUUAUAUGUUUUUUGGCUAUCGUUAUAAAAAAUAUUAACUUCUCAAUCUUGGACAGGGAAAAAAUGGAUAAAGUCAAUGAUCUUGACAGCUUCUCUGUUCCCAUUUUUGUGCUUUGGGAUCGGCUUUGUCCUGAACACUGUUGCUAUAUUUUACGGGUCUCUAGCAGCUAUUCCAUUUGGUACAAUGGUGGUGGUUUUUGUGAUUUGGAGUUUUAUCUCCUUCCCUCUGGCUCUUCUCGGUACAGUUUUUGGAAGAAAUUGGAGUGGUACUCCAAACAAUCCAUGUCGUGUGAAGACCAUUCCUCGUCCAAUUCCGGAGAAGAAGUGGUACCUCACACCAUCAGUUGUUUCAAUAAUGGGAGGUUUACUGCCCUUUGGUAGCAUAUUCAUUGAGAUGUACUUUGUCUUCACAUCUUUCUGGAACUACAAGGUACAAUUAUUAAAUAUCUUCAAUACUUAUGUUUUUUUUCAAAAAUAAAAAAUUAUAAUUUUGUUAUAUUGACUACCUUUUAGUUUUGAUUGGAUUAUUGGAAGCAUUAUGAGAAUCGUUGUAAUGUUUGUAUGCAGUUACAAGUUUUUCUUGGAUGGAAAAGAAAAACAGUUCAACUAAUAAUUCAUAUUGUGUAUGUAUGAAAUGGUACUUAAUAUUUUUAAGCUCUAUGUUUACAUGGAAAAUAUUAUUUCAAAUUAAUCCAUGCUGGAGAUAUGUCACUUCUUCUGGUCUUGGUAAAACAACUUUUAAGCUUUUCUGGGUUAAAGUUCUUCUGUGUCUGCCUGGACAGUAAAAAUGUAAUGUCUAGGAAUGGCAUGAAUACCCAACUGUACAAGUGAGGGUAGAGUUCAGAAACUUAACAUUGGUGGGUUGAUUUGACCAGAUCAUAUUAUAGAACAUAGUAGUUAAAAUGUUAGAUGGAUUAUCCAGUGGUGCAAUAAUUGUUAUAUUACAUAUUAUUGAAUACUCGUGUAAGCAAAAAUAUGAAUGUCUAUUUAUCGUUUUAAAAUAUAAAUAGUAGUCACUUGCAAAUAGUAUGAUAAGAUGUAAUGGGAUUCAAAGGAUAGGACGAAAGAUGGAGUAUCCCAGAAUAAAAACAUAAUUAUAUUGUACAUUCAUCCGACUUCUAGUCUGGAUCAUGUUUCCUUAAUAUCCAUUCUAGCACUUGCCUCCUCUCUUUUUCUAUUAGUCUGCUUCAUUAAUAAAUUUAGGUACAGUAGAUAAAAGCUAUAAUACCUUAACAUUUUGAAGGCCUUUUCUUUUACGUAUGAGUCACUUUAUGAGAUCAUUCAUCAUUGUAAAAGCUUAAGUACUAGGAAUUGCAAUGUAAUUAAUAAUCAUUUAUUACUUGGCUUUCUGUGAACUUCAUGUGUAUGCUUAGUGCUGGUAAAAUGUAAAUUUCACAUGCAUGUGACACUGUUUUGAUGAAGGAAAGACUUCGAAUCAUGUUCAAUGAUGUUCCCUUUCUUUUUGGUUAUUGACAGGUGUAUUAUGUAUACGGUUUUAUGCUGCUAGUUUUUCUGAUCCUCAUUAUUGUUACUGUAUGUGUAACAAUAGUGGGCACUUACUUCUUGUUGAAUGCCGAGAAUUAUCACUGGCAGUGGACUUCAUUCUUUUCGGCUGCAUCAACCGCUGUUUAUGUAUACUUCUAUGCAGUAUAUUAUUUCUAUGUUAAAACCAAGAUGUCAGGUUUCUUCCAAACCAGCUUCUAUUUUGGGUAUACACUGAUGUUUUGCCUUGGCCUAGGAAUCCUUUGUGGUAAGUUACAAGUAUUACUAUCUUAACAAUUUUCUGUAUUUCUCUCAUCUAAUAUUUAAACUUAUCAGGAAUGGAUGUGUCAAUUGGUUAUUAUAAUAGAAUAUAUGUUCUUCAUUGUAAUGAGUAAUGAGUCCCACUGGUAAUCUUAAAGCUUGAAAAUCGACAGUAGAAAGAUAUGAUGGUGCCUGGCCGCCUGGGGUGUAGUGCCUGCAUUUAAGAUAUAUUGAUACUGAUGUAUCUGAAACAUAUGGAGCAAAGUUUUUUUAUAGUAAAAGUAUGGGGCAAGGGUGACCUAGGGAUACUCUUUACUAUAUAAUUUCUCUCCAGACAGUGUUGUGCACUCUACGCCAACUUUGACAGUAAAAUUGACGUCAUUCUGUUGGACUUGUGAUAUACUACCGAAAAGCAUGCAUUCUCUACUCAUGUUAAUUCCUAUCAGGAAUUAGAUCCCUUGGCUGUGUUACUGUAAUGUGUAGUUUAUAUACAAGCAAAUAAACACAAAAAGAGAUGUUAAUAUAAGCCUAUAAACUAUAACAGUAUCAAAUUAUAUCAUACAUAUUGUAUGGGAUUUUGUUGAAUUUUUUAUUAAUUUAGUGUUUUCUGUUUAAUUUUCCAACACAUUAGUGAUUUUGUUAUAUAGUUUAAGAUUGUACUAUGCUUGUAAUAUAGUUUGUGCCUUUGCCUAACUUUUGUACAAUGUCUCCUAUCACGUUCAGGUGCUGUUGGUUAUUUGGGUUCUAAUCUUUUUGUGAGGAGGAUUUACCGAAAUAUAAAGUGUGAUUAGUUAUAUCCAAGAAAUACAAGUCUGCUUCCUCAUGUUGGUCAGGAAUCCCAGAACAAGAUGGAUGGGAACCAAGUCAUGCAAGUAAAGACCACUUCGACCCAGGAAGAUUAAUCUUCAGAAUUGAAAAGCCCUUUGUACCUUUUUCCUGGGCUGUAGGAGUAAGCAUUCUUACUAGAAUUAGAUUUCGAAAAAUUGUUUUAUAAUCUAAAAAGUUAAUAUGAUGUAGACUCAUAAUUGUAGUUAUUCACUUCCCUUAAACAUGGAUACCCUCUAUGGGCACACUGUUCCUGGCAUCAUUUCCUUGUGUGUCCGUUUCUAGUUCUAUUAGUUUGCUUAUUUUUGAGCUGUAAUAUUGUUUAAGAAUUGAAUUUUUGAGGGGAGACGAUUGUUUCUUAUAUAUGUGUUGCAAUAUUUUGACUCCAAUUUUGACUCUUACAUUACAGCAAAUCUAACAAGUUUGCAAGGAUUAUAUGUCUAUUGCAAUUUUUCACAUACUUCUUACAUUCAUGUGUGGUUUUACAGGAGAAGCAAGUAUUUCAGCAUCUCCGAAGGCUAUUCAAACAAACUCUGAACUCUAAUUUUAAAAAAGAUAGUGAAAAAUUAGUGUUUUUAGCGACUUUUUAAAAAUUUAAGAGCCUCCUAUUUCAAAUUCUUUUUACUUUUCUUUAAUUAUAUUUUCAACUUUUUUCUUUAUAUAAAUAUAAAUAGAAAACAAGUAUAAAAGAUAGGGUUGACAUCAAACCAAUAAUGUAAAGUUGAAAUUUUAAACGAUAUCUCAAAUUAUAUCAUUUAAAAUACAAAAAUUGAAAUGAAACGAAAUAUAUGUUCCCAAACCUAAUCUUUUAUGUUUAACUAACAUUGUUUAGGUGCGGUGAAUGAAUUUGGACCAGAUCAUCUUAAUUUUAUUAUUGUUAUAGAAAAUUUUAAUGGUAUCAUUUCAUUUAUGAUUAUUAAAAAUUGUCAUUUAUAUUUUCCAACUUAUGUGUGAUACCCUUGAAUUUUCCCCUACCUGCUAGGUGCCAGCCUUGUUGGGGCAAUGUAAAGAAUCUUGUUGCACUUUAAAAUCCAAUCUCAUCAACCUUAUUCAUGACUCAAAAGAAAGGUCAAGAACGGUAGAAAUUUGUAAGGCUGAACUUAAACCGAAAGAAAGAGCAAAAGAAAAGAGUCGUGGGAAUCCUGUGAGCCUCUCCUUUGUUGAUAAGAAGACAGGAUUUAUGAACCAUACCACAUUGCCAUGUGGAGGAUAGGGUUUGCUCUCACCACACCAUUUCCACAAGCCUCUCCUCACCUAUAUCAUUAACUCUUCACUCUUCACUCAACCCUCAAUCUCAUUAAUCAGUGUCCAUCUACCUUACCUACCAAGCUCUCUCAACAUAAUGGCAGCCACCUUAUCAGGCACCAUGGUCAGCACCUCCUUCCUCCGCCGCCACUGUCCAUCUACCUUACCUACCAAGCUCUCUCAACAUAAUGGCAGCCACCUUAUCAGGCACCAUGGUCAGCACCUCCUUCCUCCGCCGCCACCGCCCCGUGGCCACCAGCCUCAAGUCCAACGUGGGCCAGGCCCUCUNACCGCCCCGUGGCCACCAGCCUCAAGUCCAACGUGGGCCAGGCCCUCUUCGGCCUCAAGUCCUCCAACAUGCAAGGCGGCAGAAUCACAUGCAUGGCCACCUACAAGGUCACUCUCCGGACCCCUGAUGGUGAGGUCGAGUUCGAGUGUCCUGAUGAUGUCUACGUUCUCGACCAGGCUGAGGAGCAAGGAAUCGAUAUUCCUUACUCGUGCAGGGCGGGCUCGUGCUCGUCCUGCGCGGGGAAAGUGGUGUCUGGCUCGAUUGAUCAGAGUGAUCAGAGCUUUCUUGAUGAUGAGCAGAUGGAUAGUGGGUAUGUGCUCACUUGUCAUGCUUACCCUACUUCUGAUGUCAUCAUUGAGACUCACAAGGAGGAGGAGAUUGUGUAAUUUAGUUUCGUGGUAAUGUCGUGUCGGAUAUUUGGAUACUCUGUCAUGUUUUGUUUGAGUUAUGUAUUUCAUUUCUAAUGGAGGGUGAAAUUGUAAUGUUUAAUUCUCGGACUCAGAUUAUAUAUAUAUGAAAUUAAUAACAUAUUAUCUUGUUGAAUUGGUUAUGUUUUGGUUCAGUUCGGACGGGUAAUGUUCUUGUUGAUGUUUUGGAAUGUAGUUUUUCUUUGAUUCUAUUCAUAAUUAGGCUGUAUUUCACAGUAUAUGUAUGGGUUUUAAAGCAUAUUCUAGAGAAAUAAGUGUUUUAGACAGUUGUUUGCUAAGGAUGAGUGCUUUUGUAUUGCUGCAGAACUCAAACUGUUAUUAUAUGGCUUAUACAUCCUUUUCUCAUAAUAUUCAAAAUAUGGCUUACCGUAAGAAUAACAUGUGAACGUAAAAGAUUUAUACCAGAGCACUGGUUAUAAGUAAACAGUAUGAUAAAGCCCUGUUCUGGAAUAAUAAAAUAAAUAUAAAAUACAAUUUAAAUAUAGGAAAAUAGAUUUUUUCGCCAACCAACUUAAUACGUAUUUAGAAAUUUACCACUAAACUAUAAUUUCUUUUCUUUUUGUCACUAAUUUUAGGUUUGGAUUUGUUUUUUGUCACUAACGUUAGAUUCAGAUUUGAUUAUUAACACUACAUUAUUCUUUUUAGCAUUAUUAUAAUAUAAUGUUAGUCCCCAAUAUUAUGGUAAUAGAUAUGUGUUCAAAUCUUUACAUGUAGUACUUCAUAUGUGCGGUAGUUUAUCUUGCAGGACGAUAGUUUGACACGCAAUGUAAUACUCAAAUUUAAUGUUAGUGACGUAAAAAAAUACAAACCUAACAUUACUGAUAAAAAAGAAAAAAAUUAUACUUAAUGGUAAGUUUCAAAAUACACAAUAAAUUGAGUGGCGAAAAAAUCUAUUUUCACUAAAAUAUUAAUAUGAAAUUUUUAUAUCCAAUAGCAAAACAGGCCACAUGAAUAUAAAAACAAGAAAAUUUUUAAGCCACAUGGUCAGUUAUAAAAGAAGAGCAAAGCCACAGAGCAGCUCAUCAGAUGCAAACAAAGAAGAUAGGAUAAGAUUUCCUUAUCAACUUGCAUUCACUCUCGGAAAACCAUCAUUCCAUUCAAGAUGGCUGCAUUAACAACCCUCUCCGCCACAAUGCUCAGCACCACCUUCUUAAACCGCCAUCAACCGGUUGUCACCAGUCUCCGAGCCAACACGGGUAGAUCCCUCUUUGGGCUCAAGUCAUCCGGCCGAGGCCGGGUGACUUGCAUGGCUUUUUACAAAGUGAAGCUGAUAACACCAGAAGGUGAGCAUGAAUUCGAGUGUCCAAGUGAUAUUUACAUUCUCGACCAUGCUAUAGAGGAGGAGAAUAUCGAUCUUCCCUACUCUUGCAGAGCCGGGUCAUGCUCUAGUUGUCUUGGAAAAGUUGUUUCAGGCUCAGUGGAUCAAACUGACGGGAGCUUUCUUGAUGAUGACCAGAUGGAGGCUGGUUAUGUUCUCACUUGUGUGGCUCAUCCUACCUCUGAUGUAACAAUUGAAACCCACAAGGAGGAGGAUAUUUUCGAGCCGUUUGGACAAGUUUAAAAAAAGUGAUUUCUUGCUUAAAAUAAAGAAGUGUUUGAAAAAGAAGUAAAAGCUUUGAGUAGAAGUUAACUUUCUCAGCUUCUUAAAAGUGCUUCUACUUGUUUAAAUAAACCGGUCAAAAAAAGCAGAAGACGAAAGCAGCUUCUGCUUCUUAAAAAAACAUGCCCUUUUUAAAUAUCACAAUCCAUCAUCGUCUGUUUGGUUUUUGCUAAUUUCUUUGCUUGUCCUGUGUAUGUACUCUGCUUUUUUACUAAAUAUGUUUGAUUUCAUUCAAAUUAUGCAUGACAGUUUGAACAUCUUUAAUAGGCUUAAUGCCAACGCUUAAUGUUUGGGGCUGUGUAUUGAUGCAGCCUCAAUGUUUUUAACUCGGUUGAUUCAACCCUCAAAGUAUUCAAUAUAUUCCGAAUAACCAUCAUAUACCGGUAUAAAGCCAAAAAAACAGUAAUAUAACAAAGGGUAUUAACAUUGAGGGUUAAAAGGGCAUUUAGCCACUUAGCAAAAAAAAAAAAAAAGGGCAUUUAGCCACCAAUAAAAAAAAAUUACUCCUGGCAGGCCUAAGAAAAAAAGGAGAAAAAAAAAUGAUGUGAUCUAAUCCAGAGAAGAUAACUCAAACAUGUUGAAGAGAAAAGGAACUAGUCUAAGGUGCUCUAAUUGUGGUGAGUGGGAACACAAUUUCACAAGCUAUCCUAAAGAGGUGUAACAACAUAUCUCUACUGAUCCCAUAUUUUAUCAUAUACUACAUCACACUGCAACUACUGUAAUAUUUAUUUUCCUAACUGAAAAAUUGCUGGGAACAAAGAAGAUGGGAAGAAAGAAGAUGCCUUCAAAUGGAAAGAAGAAGCCUUCUUAAACCGCCAGUGAAUUAUAUCCUCCUUAUCAACUGGCAUUCCAUUCAAGAUGGCUGCAUUAAAAACCAUCUCCACCACAAUGCUGAGCACCACCUUCUUGAACCGGCAUCAACCAGUUGUCACCAGUCUCCGAGCCAACACUGGUAGAUCCCUCUUCGGGCUCAAGUCAUCUGGCCGAGGCCGGGUGACUUGCAUGGCUACUUACAAAGUGAAGUUGAUAACACCAGAUGGCGAGCAUGAAAUCCAGUGUCCAGAUGAUAUUUACAUUCUCAACCAUGCUCCACCACAAUGCUCAGCACCACCUUCUUGAAUCCAAUCUCAUCAACCUUAUUGAUGACUCGUCAAGAAGGUAGAAAUUUGUAAGGCUGAAUUCAAAACGAAAGAAAGAGCAAAAGAAAAGAGUUGAACCAUAUCACAUUGCCACCGGGCGGAUAGGGUUUGCUCUCACCACAAGCCUCUCCUCACCUAUAUCAUUAACUCUUCACUCUUCACUCAACCCUCAAUCUCAUUAAUCAGUAUCCAUCUACCUUACCUAUCCGGAUACCCGGAUGCAUGGCCACCUACAAAGUCACUCUCCGGACUCCUGACGGUGAGGUCGAUCGAGUUCGACUGUCCUGAUGAUGUCUACGUUCUCGACCAGGCUGAGGAGAAAGGAAUCGACAUUCCAUACUCGUGCAGGGCGGGCUCUCUUGCUCGUCCUGCGCGGGGAAAGUGGUGUCUGGCUCGAUUGAUGAGAGUGAUCAGAGCUUUCUUGAUGAUGAGCAAAUGGAUAGUGGGUAUGUUCUCACUUGUCAUGCUUACCCUACUUCGGAUGUCAUCAUUGAGACUCACAAGGAGGAGGAGAUUGUGUAAUUUAGUUUCGUGGUAAUGUCGUGUCGGACACUCGGAUA